rnacentral:rRNA from 1 species
AGAGUUUGAUCCUGGCUCAGGAUGAACGCUGGCGGCGUGCCUAACACAUGCAAGUCGAACGAAGCUUGAGGAAUGAUUUCUUCGGAAUGAAUUCUGAUAUGACUUAGUGGCGGACGGGUGAGUAACACGUGAGCAACCUGCCUUUCAGAGGGGGAUAACGGCUGGAAACGGUCGCUAAUACCGCAUGAUAUGUUUGGAUGGCAUCAUUUGAACAUCAAAGAUUUAUCGCUGAAAGAUGGGCUCGCGUCUGAUUAGAUAGUUGGUGAGGUAACGGCUCACCAAGUCGACGAUCAGUAGCCGGACUGAGAGGUUGAACGGCCACAUUGGGACUGAGAUACGGCCCAGACUCCUACGGGAGGCAGCAGUGGGGAAUAUUGCACAAUGGGGGAAACCCUGAUGCAGCAACGCCGCGUGAAGGAAGACGGUUUUCGGAUUGUAAACUUCUUUUCUUUGUGAAGAAACAAAUGACGGUAGCAAAGGAAUAAGCAUCGGCUAACUACGUGCCAGCAGCCGCGGUAAUACGUAGGAUGCAAGCGUUAUCCGGAUUUACUGGGUGUAAAGGGAGCGCAGGCGGGACUUCAAGUUGGAUGUGAAAGGUCAAGGCUUAACCUUGGCACUGCAUCCAAAACUGUAGUUCUUGAGUGGAGUAGAGGUAAGCGGAAUUCCGAGUGUAGCGGUGAAAUGCGUAGAUAUUCGGAGGAACACCAGUGGCGAAGGCGGCUUACUGGGCUCUAACUGACGCUGAGGCUCGAAAGUGUGGGGAGCAAACAGGAUUAGAUACCCUGGUAGUCCACACUGUAAACGAUGAUUACUAGGUGUUGGAGGAUUGACCCCUUCAGUGCCGCAGUU